AUGCUGACUCGCCUGCUGCUUCUCCUGGGACCAGGCUCUGUGUUUGGAGUUCUCCUCUCUCAAAGUCCAAGCAGGGACAUCUGUGAAAGAGGGAAUUCCAUCACAAUUCAGUGUCAAGUGGACACUCAGAUGAACUUCAUGUACUGGUACCAGCAACUACCAGGACAGAGCUUGGAAUUGAUUGCAACAGCAAAUCAAGGCUCUGAAGCCACUUAUGAAAAAAAAUUUUCCAAGGACAAGUUUCCCAUCAGCCGCCCAACACUAACAUUCUCGAAUCUGACUGUGAACAACAUGACCCCUGAAGACAGCAGCCUCUUCUUCUGCAGUGCAUGA